GACGAACGCUGGCGGCGUGCUUAACACAUGCAAGUCGAACGGAAAGGCCCUUCGGGGUACUCGAGUGGCGAACGGGUGAGUAACACGUGGGUGAUCUGCCCUGCACUUUGGGAUAAGCCUGGGAAACUGGGUCUAAUACCGAAUAUGACCGCGCACUUCCUGGUGUGUGGUGGAAAGCUUUUGCGGUGUGGGAUGGGCCCGCGGCCUAUCAGCUUGUUGGUGGGGUAAUGGCCUACCAAGGCGACGACGGGUAGCCGGCCUGAGAGGGUGACCGGCCACACUGGGACUGAGAUACGGCCCAGACUCCUACGGGAGGCAGCAGUGGGGAAUAUUGCACAAUGGGCGCAAGCCUGAUGCAGCGACGCCGCGUGAGGGAUGACGGCCUUCGGGUUGUAAACCUCUUUCAAUAGGGACGAAGCGCAAGUGACGGUACCUAUAGAAGAAGGACCGGCCAACUACGUGCCAGCAGCCGCGGUAAUACGUAGGGUCCGAGCGUUGUCCGGAAUUACUGGGCGUAAAGAGCUCGUAGGUGGUUUGUCGCGUUGUUCGUGAAAACUCACAGCUUAACUGUGGGCGUGCGGGCGAUACGGGCAGACUAGAGUACUGCAGGGGAGACUGGAAUUCCUGGUGUAGCGGUGGAAUGCGCAGAUAUCAGGAGGAACACCGGUGGCGAAGGCGGGUCUCUGGGCAGUAACUGACGCUGAGGAGCGAAAGCGUGGGGAGCGAACAGGAUUAGAUACCCUGGUAGUCCACGCCGUAAACGGUGGGUACUAGGUGUGGGUUUCCUUCCUUGGGAUCCCGUGCCGUAGCUUAACGCAUUAAGUACCCCGCCUGGGGAGUACGGCCGCAAGGCUAAAACUCAAAGAAAUUGACGGGGGCCCGCACAAGCGGCGGAGCAUGUGGAUUAAUUCGAUGCAACGCGAAGAACCUUACCUGGGUUUGACAUGCACAGGACGCCAGUAGAGAUAUUGGUUCCCUUGUGGCCUGUGUGCAGGUGGUGCAUGGCUGUCGUCAGCUCGUGUCGUGAGAUGUUGGGUUAAGUCCCGCAACGAGCGCAACCCUUAUCUUAUGUUGCCAGCGCGUAAUGGCGGGGACUCGUGAGAGACUGCCGGGGUCAACUCGGAGGAAGGUGGGGAUGACGUCAAGUCAUCAUGCCCCUUAUGUCCAGGGCUUCACACAUGCUACAAUGGCCGGUACAAAGGGCUGCGAUGCCGUGAGGUGGAGCGAAUCCUUUCAAAGCCGGUCUCAGUUCGGAUCGGGGUCUGCAACUCGACCCCGUGAAGUCGGAGUCGCUAGUAAUCGCAGAUCAGCAACGCUGCGGUGAAUACGUUCCCGGGCCUUGUA
rnacentral:rRNA from 1 species